ACUUUUUUUUAUCCCCACGUGUUGUUUGUAAUUUGUGUAUGUCCCUAGGACCCCCCCUACCACUAUCAGUGCCACGCUCACAGUCUCUCUGCUAAAUUUCUUCUUUUCUCCAUGUGAUUAAUCUCAAAAAAGUCACGAACUUUCAGCUCCUCAUUCUCUUCCUUGAAUCUUCAAAUCUUAACAUUUCUCUUCAAAAAACUCGACAAUCUAAAUUACCAUACAAAAUCUCUUUCCAAUCGUGUGUAAAAAGACAGCAGUCUUUUCCAUCUUUCUUGUUUCAUUAGUGGCUGCACAAAAAAACUCAUCUUUAUGGUGAUGGUGAACUUAUAUGGAUGUGCUCUCAAAUCAGGGAGCUGUUGGAGUGGAUGCACAAGAGGAAAAAUUUGGGUAAAUUCAAGCUCGUGAUAAAAGAGUAUGUCUUUGUUGUUGUUUCAAGUUAUAUUAAUUUUGGGGUAUAUGUUUGAGACAUUUUUCUCAUUUAUUCAAAAUCCUCUUUAGUGAA